GUCUGGAUCAGCUCUGCAGGUUUGGUCAAAUACAUUCGAUCAGUCAGUGUUACGCAGCUCUGGGACACAAACUCAAUCUGCAGAUGAAGCUGUACCCUUCAUAUACUGAACUUUAUUUGUAUAAGACGUUAAAUGAUGGCAGUAGACUGGAUGUUUUUAGCAUAACAGACAAUAAAGAACAUAAACAAGAAUCCAUCAGAAACAGAUCUGAGUUCUUCUUUGAUAAUAUGACUCUGAUCAUAAACAAUGUGAUCAGAGCAGAUUCAGGAAGAUACACAUUAGAUGUCAUUGAGAUAGAUAUGAUAAUGAGCAGUGAUCUUCUAGUGAAUGUUGAAGGUACACAAACUCUCUCAUCAGAUUCAUUCUGUCUUGACAUUGACUCUGGAUAUGUGUUGACUGUCAUGUGUCCCUCCCUCCAGCUCCUAUUGGCUCAGUGGAAGUGUCAAUCAUCUGCUCCGCCAAUCAGACUUCAGUGUUCUGCUCCUCUAAAGGUGAUAAGAUCAUCUACAGCUGGACUCUGAAUGAAAAAGUACUAGAAGAAGGAACAAUGUUUGGAAACAGCAGGAUUGAUCUGGAUGAGGGAACUGAUGGAGAGCUGCAGUGUGAAGAACAACGUCAGUCACGCACAGAAGACCAUUAGACUCAAACCCUGUCCUGGUCUGGAUCGGUUCUGCUGGUUUAAUCAGUCUGAUCCCUGUUACACAGCUCUGGGACACAAACUCAAUCUGAUGAUGGUGCUGGAUGCUAGUAAAUAUGACCUGAAGAUAAUAAAGAGAAUAAACAAUGCAGCAGAUGAUCCAGUUUGUAGAGUAAAGUAUGGCAAGAUGAAGAAAUGUGAUCUUUAUAAUAACAGAACUGAAGUGACGGUCAUUAAUGGGACUGUGAUAAUAAACCGUGUGAUCAGAGCAGAUUCAGGGAAUUACACAUUAAGACUCGAUCGCUCAGAUGGCUCAGUAACAUCUAGAGAUCUUCAAGUGAUUGUUGAAGCUCCUAUUGGCUCAGUGGAAGUGUCAAUCAUCUGCUUCUCCAGUGGGGGGAUGAGGGUGUUCUGCUCCUCUGAGGGGGAUCAGCUCCUCUACAGCUGGACUCUGAAUGGAGAUCCACUGAUGGAUGGAAACAGCAGCAUUGAUCUGGAUGAGAGAACUGAUGGAGACAUCAGCUGCAGCGUGAAGAACCACGUCAGUCACGCACAGAAGACCAUUAGACUCAAACCCUGUCCUGGUCUGAAUUGGUUCUGCUGGUUUAAUCAGCCUGAUCCCUGUUACGCAGCUCUGGGACACGAACUCAAUCUGCUGAUGGUGCAGGAUGCUAGUGAAUAUGAUCUGAAGAUACAAAAGAGAAUAAACAACACAGCAGAUGAUUCAGAUUGUAGAGUAAAGAAUGGCAGAAUGAGGAUGAGUCAGUGUGAUCUUUAUUAUAACAGACCUGAAGUGACAGUCAUUAAUGGGACUCUGAUAAUAAACCGUGUGACCAGAGCAGAUUCAGGGAAUUUCAGAUUAACUCUCGUUCACUCAGAUGGCUCAGGAACAUCUAGAGAUCUUCAGGUGAUUGUUGAAGCUCCUAUUGGCUCAGUGGAAGUGUCAAUCAUCUGCUCCUCCAGUGGGGGGAUGAGGGUGUUCUGCUCCUCUGAGGGGGAUCAGCUCCUCUACAGCUGGACUCUGAAUGGAGAUCCACUGAUGGAUGGAAACAGCAGCAUUGAUCUGGAUGAGGGAACUGAUGGAGACAUCAGCUGCAGCGUGAAGAACCACGUCAGUCACGCACAGAAGACCAUUAGACUCAAACCCUGUCCUGUAGAGACGCUGCUGUCGGACACUGUUGAGAGACGCACAGAUGCAGGUCUGGAUCGGUUCUGCAGGUUUGAUCAGUCUGAUCCCUGUUACGCAGCUCUGGAACACAAACUCAAUCUGAUGAUGGUGCAGGAUGCUAGUAAAUAUGACUUGAAGAUACAAAAGAGAAUAAUCAACACAGCAGAUGGUCCAGUUUGUAGAGUAAAGAAUGGCAGGAUGAGGAUGAGUGAAUGUGAUCUUUAUAAUAACAGACCUGAAGCGACAGUCAUUAAUGGGACUGUGAUAAUAAACCGUGUGAUCAGAGCAGAUUCAGGGAAUUACAGAUUAACUCUCGACAGCUCAUACGGCUCAGAAACAUCUGAAGAUCUUCAAGUGAUUGUUGAAGCUCCUAUUGGCUCUGUGGAAGUGUCAAUCAUCUGCUCCUCCAGUGGGGUGAUGAGGGUGUUCUGCUCCUCUGAGGGGGAUCAGCUCCUCUACAGCUGGACUCUGAAUGGAGGUCCACUGAUGGAUGGAAACAGCAGCAUUGAUCUGGAUGAGAGAACUGAUGGAGACAUCAGUUGCAGCGUGAACAACAACGUCAGCCACUCACAGAAGACCAUUAGACUCAAACCCUGUCCUGCUGAUGGUUCUGUUGGGUCUGUUAGGAGCUUUUCACAUCUACAUGAGACACACAUCAGCAAAGAAACAGGAAGAUCAGAAAGUGAGGAUGAGAAGAUUGAGAGAAGGACAUGAAGACACAGCAGAAGAUUCAUGAGAGCAGCAGCAGAUCAUCACAUCUAUUUACACUAUAAUCUCACUGACUCUCACAUCAAUCCAGCUUUCAGAUGUCAAAUAAAACCAGGAGACAGAAGAAGCUUUCA
ensembl:lncRNA